UGUGAAGAGCCGACUAGGAGGCCAUGGGGCAUAGCAGGCUGCGGCAGCACACUGAUUUUACAGGAGGAGUCGCACACGGGGAUCCAGGGAUAACCAUUGUCAUUCCCCAUUGACGCAUGCACAGCCCAAUGUCCAUUUACGUGCAGUACGCUGACCGGGUUCAAACCCGUACUGAAGCUGGUUAUGAGGACAUUCCUGCCACUGUGCAUCAAGCUAUAAAGCAUUCCUUAUGUGGACAUUUUGUUGGUGAUCUUCAAACCGGACAGUAUUGAACCACUAUACACUUGCAACUGAGAGACGAGAUUGGGGGAGGGGGACGAUGAUGACAACUAACACAGAUGAGCGCAUCCGUGGCCAAAGACCAAAGUGCACACCUGCACUGAGCCAUUGAAUCUUCAGCCAAGUCUCAUCCCAUAUCCAAGGAGCAGGAGAAGAAGAAGCAAAGGUGGAAAGAGAGCUCAGCUUUCCCAGCAAGAUCUGCAAAGUCAAACAGUAUACCUCCCACAUGGGUGUGCCACAAGGCCAUGCCGCUCCCUAUGAGGCCAUGCCCUCAGUUUUGAUAUGCAAAAUUAUGUGAGGUAUGAAACAAUGAGCUCAGUCCUCCUGAAGUUUGGUUAUGCUCUGCAUUCAGUGCCAACACUUCAGGGAUGACCAUUCUACAGAUCAAACACACAGGAUAAAGCACAGUGGUUUUUGAGGGCAGGA